ensembl:lncRNA
UUGGCCUUUAUUGUUAGUGCCCAAGGUCAAAGUUGACCUUAAAUAAAAUUUCAAGGAUGCAUAUCAAGUAAUAUAUCAAUUUACUGUACAGUAAACUUUUAAUCUUUUUAAUAUGAUACCCUAUGACAUCAGAAUGAUGCCAUAAAAGACUGAUGUCAGGAUGUUGUAAUAAAAAAAUCAUAGCUCAUCAAAAAUCGUGUGUACCUCUCGUCCUUUGGGAGAAGAUGCACUCCCUGGAUGUUCUUGUUCAUGUCUAUAAUGGCUAAGACUGAAAAGCAUGUUGAAACAUAGUCUGUCAUGUUAAAAGAACUCUAAAUUUUACAUCCAGACUAUCACAUGACAUUGCACCAAAACAGGGCAACCACAGAAUAAAAGGUUCCACUCCACCACCCGAUCGCAACUUGCAUUUCCUUUAGUGGACAAGUUAUGCGUAGGCGAUGACAUUUGAGAGACACACCAUUCUUACUGUCUUUUAACUGCAGGUAAUCAUCAAACAUGGACAGCCUUCAUGUCAUUCUUGUCCUCCUUUUAGGAGGUCAUUGGAUUUCUGGAUCAGUGGUGGAUUUGACAGUGAGAUCAGGAGAGAACGUCACUCUGAAUUGUGACUGUGAAGUAUUACCUGAGGAAUAUGUUGUAUGGUACAGAAAUUGUACCCAUGAAAAUCAGCCUCCUCUUGUUCUGAAACUAAAAGAAGAUGCAUGGAAAAAAAUCAGUGACCGAGCAGUUUCAGUGAAUUCUCUAUUACGCUUCCACUUUAAAAAGAAUCAGUCUUCUGGAUCCUAUGAUCUGCUGAUCAUGAAUAUUUCUGAUUCUGAUGAGGGCCUCUAUUACUGUGGAACUGAAAAGGAACAGUGGGUAGAUGACGCAAGCGUUCAGGUCAGAUAUGACCACAGAUAUGCCAGUAUCGCAACAAGAAUCUUAAUCAGUUCACGUCACACGAGGCCUUGCCCUGAUUCCAGUCCUUGCCCUGACUCCAAUCCUCACUCUGACUCCAGUACUCGACCUGACUCCACUCGUCGAGCUGUCUACAGUGGAACCUGUGGUUCCAGUCUCGUGCCCUGGCUGAUGAUGUUUACACCAGGAUUUUCUAUUCUCAUUUCAUUUUUUUCCUUUAUUUUUAUUUAUCAGUUCUGUCGGAAAACAGAAAAAGAACUUCAAUUUUUUCAGAACAGACUAGAUCACAACAAUCAAAGGAAACAGAAUGAGGAUGAAGAUUUGUGUUUAACACAAGUCUGGUUCCAGGCUCGAAAUGGACAUAAAAAUCUUUAGACGGAUUCAAGAUGGAGAAAACACUGUCUUCCACUGAAAAUUAUAUACAUAAUCUGUUUUAAUUAUUUGUAACUCAACAGAGUUACUCAUUAUUACAUUUUACUUUUUAGUUUUAAUUGUUCUUUAUGCUUUCCUUAAAUUGUAGUUUUGGUGACAGUUGCAUGUAAAUAACUUUAGAAGUAAAACUAACAAAGUAUCUAGAAAAAGAGUAAUGAAUUUUGAUGAUUUUGUCAGAUUUGUAUAAAUUACAGCGCUUAUUAUAGGAAACUAAAUUUUUUAAAUAAAAAAUAUCUUUUCAUACUAUUGCUCUGUUGAAUGUCUUUAGAGAGUAUACUUCCUUUGCCUUUUCUUUAAUUGUUGAUUUAGACUAAUCCUUGAAAUCAUUUAAAUUACUCUCUAAAAUUAUUGAUCAGUGUUCUUUGAUCAGUGGGUUUUGGUCAGUGAUUGUUGAUCAAUGGUCAUGGGAAUUUGCAUAAUUAUGAUUAAGGAACUGACCUCACAGCCCAUUGUUCCUUCAGUGGGCUGGUUUCAGUCAUUAUGCAAAUGUACUGUUUAUAAGGUUUGGGGGAACCUGCAGUCAGCUGAGACUGAAGAAGUCACUUGGAUGAGUGACGAAACGUUUCUCCCACAAAACGCUACGUCCAGAUGAACAGAUUCAACUUUUGGAGAGCUCUAAAAUUAUUAUCAUUAUUUUUUUAGAUUUCAAUCAGUUUUUUUGUUAUCUUUUGUGUCUGCGAACACACCACCACAAGCCUCAAUAUGCAAACACAUCUUCACUGUUGUACUUUAGAAAGAUAUUUAUGCACAAGCAUAACAUCUCAUACCAAACCGAUGUUGUCUUCUAAUAUUUUCCUUGGCCUUUAUUUGGAAAUAAAUUGGCAUGCAAACUAUAAUUACAAAACAUAUCAUAUCAAAUCAAAGCAACACAAAGCAGCUCACAGGAUUUGGAAUAUGACGAUGUCUGCGAUAUCAAAAAUACAUAAAUGGUUCAUUUGUGAGGUUGAGAGAGAGACAAAUGCAAAAGAAGUUAGAUGGAACUGAGACAGGGUGAGCACAUGGGACAGCAGUCAUACCGUGGAAGACCCAGACAAAGUGUGUCAGCAGACGCUCAUCCUGUUACCCUCUGAUAUGGGGAGAUUCUUCAAGACAGUAGAGGGGGUGAAACAGCAGUCUGCAACAUAUUUUCUUCACGGGGUUGGAUGUCCCGCUACCCACCCCUGGAUUAACAGAGAGUUGUGGGACUCUCUUUUCCAACACCCUGGCAUAGACUUUCCUGGGGAGGCUGAUGAGUGUGAUCCACUCAUAGUUGGAGCACGCAAUUCAGUCCCCUUUCUUAAAGACAGGAACCACCACCUGGUCUGCUAAUCCAGCAGUACUGUCCCUGAUUUUCAUGAGACAUUGAAAAGGUAUGUCAACCAAGACAAGGAUAGGGUGAGAAGUUUGGCCAUUGGGGUGGGGCGAGUAGAGCCGCUAUUUCCCCCCAUUGAAAAGAAGCCCGUUAAUUUUAUGUUUGUUUGUUUUUUACAUUAAACAGCUGAACACACACGGCCCCUUUAGAUUCUAAAUCAAUCCACUUGUUUUGACACAGAAAUCUGUACUUCAUAAUAUUACACUGACUCUUAGUUGUUAUAAGAUAUCUUUUUUAAAAUUCUGUACAACUUCACACGUCGUCCCUUGCACUGUGCUGGUAAGCCAUAAGUUCACCCCUCAAUUUGUGCAUUCUUGACUGAUGGCCAGGCUCAUAAGGUACGUUACAAUAAGAAGUAAUGAAAAAUGCUUUAUUUUAUUCUAUAUGUUCUUUUCAAAUGAGCCAGAAAUGAGGAGUCUGAGGCUGAAAUAGUAAUAAAACACAAAAUGUUUCUUUUGGUAAACACUGAAACGCAACGGUUAAACCUAAAUGACAAUUCUGUUAUUAGAUGCCAGUUUUGUUCCUAUUAAUAAACUGCCAUAACUUACUCUGCAUGCAUAUGUGGGAAGUGGAUUGCUUUAAACCUAAAGCUCAGAAGUGGUUGCUGAGCAAAUCACACCCAUAUAUGACCACAGAUGCACAAAGUAUCAGUAUAGCAUAAGAAAACAG